GUGAGGUGUCCCCCCCUGAGGAGAGAGGGCCGGUGGGCGCGCGGAGUCCGCGGCCUAGACGCGCUCCUCAGCCACACUUGGGAGUGAGUUGUCCCGGCCGACCGUAGUAGCCCUGCACAGUCCCGGCCGAUGCCGUCCAGCAUCCCGCCCAGGUGAUGAGGACCUCCCCGCGUCGCCAGCGCCCCAGGCUGCUGCUGCUGCCGCCGCCGCCGCCGGACGCCUCCAUUGUCUGACCACCGCCAGGGCUCGGCUCUCGGCAGACCUGCAAAUGCAAGCUACUUCCUCUGGAAGAUAAGACAGCUACCUCCUCAGGACCAAGAAAGAAAAGAAAACCAGCGUGCUACUGUAUAGAGUCCCCAGGAGCAAGACUGACUGUCCCUGAAGCCAAGGAGCCUUCAUGCUGGCAAAGGGAGUGAUGUUCUGACUCUCCUGAGGGUACUCUGGCGGCUCAUCACCAACUGGCACCUUGUGCCCUGGGCAGACAGAUCAUACUGCACAGGCUUUUAUGAGUGAGAAGUAGAAGAGUACUGUACAUCAGAGAAAGACUCCAGGGGCUCAGAACAAAGGCUCACUCUUUCCUGCCCUGGAAUGUUGACCACUCAGGAUCUAAAGGAACGAAAGCUCUGUGCUGAUGAGCUAUGGGAUUCAUAUGAGAGUCAGUGUGACUUUGUAAUCAGUAAGUGAGGAGCACUAUGCAGGAAGAAGCCUUCCACAGAAAGACAGGCAGGGAGAAGCUGAGGCUAACAGUUAGCUUGCCCGAUAGAGCAAGCCUGAGAUAGACUGCCAAGAUGGCAAAAUAAGAGGCUUUAUGAAGCAGCAGUCCUGGAACUCAUAGUUGUAAGAAUACUUUCUUCUUUAAGCCAAGAUACCAAAUAGGAAAGAUGAUCUACAAGUGCCCCAUGUGCAGGGAAUUUUUCUCUGAGAGAGCAGAUCUUUUUAUGCAUCAGAAAAUCCAUACAGCAGAGAAACCCCAUAAAUGUGACAAAUGUGAUAAGGGUUUCUUUCAUAUAUCAGAGCUUCAUAUUCAUUGGCGAGACCACACAGGAGAGAAGGUUUUUAAAUGUGAUGAUUGCGGUAAGGAUUUUAGCACAACAACAAAACUUAAUAGACAUAAGAAAAUCCACACCGUGGAAAAGCCCUAUAAAUGCUAUGAGUGUGGCAAAGCCUUCAACUGGAGCUCCCAUCUUCAAAUCCACAUGAGAGUCCACACUGGUGAGAAGCCGUACGUCUGCAGUGAGUGUGGGAGGGGCUUCAGUAAUAGUUCUAACCUUUGUAUGCACCAGAGAGUCCACACUGGGGAGAAGCCCUUCAAAUGUGAAGAGUGUGGGAAAGCCUUCAGGCAUACCUCCAGCCUCUGCAUGCAUCAAAGAGUCCACACUGGAGAAAAGCCCUAUAAAUGUUACGAGUGUGGGAAGGCCUUUAGUCAGAGCUCCAGUCUUUGCAUCCACCAGAGAGUACACACAGGGGAGAAACCCUAUAGGUGUUGUGGGUGUGGGAAGGCCUUCAGUCAGAGUUCCAGCCUCUGCAUCCACCAGAGAGUGCACACAGGGGAAAAACCUUUUAAGUGUGAUGAGUGUGGCAAGGCCUUCAGCCAGAGUACAAGCCUUUGCAUCCACCAGAGAGUGCACACCAAGGAGAGAAACCAUCUCAAAAUAUCAGUUAUAUAAAAAUGUUUUCCUAAGAAUUAAAAAUCUUAAACCCGUAAGUGCCACUAGGAAGGAAACCUUGAAUCCACCUACACUGAACCCAGGAACAUCUACAGCAGUCCCCAGAAAAACAUUCUUUCUGAGGAGGUUUAGGUGAAGUUGUGUUUCUGAACUCGGAAUUCUUCUGUGUGUGUGCCCAAGAUGGAGCAUUGUGUCCCUGUCACAGGUAUGGUGUUUCCUGAGACUCUGGCAACAUGCCACAGAGUUGAAACAAUACUCAAAACUCAGGAGCCUUGCUCAGCCGCUCAGUCACCUGUCUGUGCUGUGCUUCCGGGCAGUGCCAGACACUCCCUUUUGGAGCUCAUGCUCCUUCCUCUGUUCAAGCCUACCUACCGGUCAGUGCAUUUAAAAAUGGACAGCUCCCGUGAAGGCCGAGUCCUGGUAUUUCUGAGGUUGCCAUUUGACUCAACCCUGACAUAGCUUUCCAUAUAUCCUGUUAUUUCUGAAUCCACCUUACCUCAUGUCCUCAGAGUACCUAUAAACACUUACCCCUUCCUAGGUGGCAUUAAACUUCAUUUUAGAUGUUAGGAAAGUCAUAAUAUGCACUCACUCAGCCAAUCAGGAAUCACUGGCAGGUGUACAUGCCCUGGAACUUUUCUUUAGUUUUGUGAACUCCGCUAAUCACUGUGUCUCUGGGUUAGAUUUACUUUCUAGUGGCUUUGUCACAUGCUCCAACUUGAAAUUUUUUUUUUCUUUUAAGUAGCUGAAUGUAUAUAUCAGGGAGGAAGAAGCAAGCAAACUGCGCUUGUCUACUUCGAGUGACCCUCUCAGGCUCCUUUUGAGCUAGGAAAGCCUUGAGAGGGCUGACUGGGGAGUCACUGAGGAUGAAUCUGUCAUCUCAGGCAAUAAUGUGUAGGUGUCAUCAUGAAUCGCAUACAGUUCUUUUCAGGCAUGAGUGUGUAUUACUGAUCCAUUCCAACAUCCUCAUUCAUUCUCUGAGUAUUUAUUGAAUGCCUCCUGGGUGUCAGACAUGUACUGGGUGCUGGGAAUGCCACUGGCUCAUGAAAUUCACCUCUGGAGGAGACAGGAUAAGUGAGUUAACACAUAAAUAACGUAGUUUGCGGUAGUGAUUAAGUGCUAUGAGAAACUAGGGUGGUAUGUAGAGGGGGGUGGGGGGCCAGGUAGCAAGGGCCAGGAACUCUGCGCUGAAGGUGCUGGGGUCAUGUGAAGGGAGCCGUGACAGUACACAGCACAGGUGCCGCUGGCCCUGGGGACAAGAUGCAGGUGCUGGAGGUGGUGUGCGGGGAGGGGAGGUGCUGAGCCAUGAGCUUAGUGGCUAGUGUUUAUAGGCCUGUUGUGUUUGUUUUGUUUCUACUGACUGAUAGUAAAACUCAUGGAAGAACUCAAGGGAUGUUGAAAAGACCAAAAGUCCCCAGUGACACCAACACAAAGCUCCCAGUUCCGUUUCCUUCUCAUUCCCGUUCUCCAUCUCGCACAUGCAGUCCUUUGCUCAGGAAGUCUUUGGGGAAACUAAUGACCUGUUAAUUUGAAGUGGGUGACUGGCUUGGUGGCUUCUGCCAGCCAUUCUAAAGCUGGAUAAAGAACUUCCCAGAUGAUUAGAAAUAUGAGACUUUCUUAGUUUGGUUUUUGUUUUUUUAAUUUUUUUGUUUGUUUUUUGUUUUGUUGGGUUUUUUUUGUUGGUUUUUUUUUUUCUUGUUUUUUUUUUUUGGUGUUUGGCUGGAAGAAGUUUUUGUAAAACUGAAGCCUGGGUGCAUAGAGAGGGCUUUGUAGGAGCACAUGGUCAGUGGGCAGGGUUUAAGAAUGAAUCUGUCACCAUGUGUUAUAAUGUAGACACUUUCAGGCAAGCCUUUGGCCCACUGGUCACUGCCUUCCCCUCUCCACAGAGGGCUAUUGGCUAACACACCCCCUUCCUGGCCUCACAGCCACCACAGCAAUUUCCUGUAGUGUCUUACACUUCCAUGUCACCACAGCGUGGAGCAUUAGAGAAAAGCCUGGAAAGACUUAGUUGAUAGAGAGCCAGUUGAAAUAUCAUCAAUAGAAUUUUAGUUUAGGGAAAAUGGUUUGAGUUCUAGCUUUAUAACUAUUAGGUAUGUAAGCUUGGGCAAAUCGCUGAAUCUUCAGGUCUAGUUUUCUCACAGAAUGAGGACACUGGACUAAAUGAUUUCCCAAUUUCCAGCUAGUCCUAGAGUUCUAUAUUUCUACAUAGUUGAAUUAUUUUAUCAUGCUGUUGCUAGGGAAUACAACUAACACUUUUGAAGCUACUAAUUUUAUGUCAAGCUUUAAAGUCCAUACUUGUUAUCUUCAGAAAUAUUAUUUGACCUACAGUAUGUUUAAAUCAAUUUAAUAAAAUCACUUUAUAACAGGG